rnacentral:lncRNA from 1 species
GGAAACUGGGAGAACUUCGGGGAGGGAAUGGGGGGGGACUGGGAGAACUGGGAUGGACUGGGAUGGACUGGGAAGACUGGGAUGGACUGGGAUGGACUGGGAGGACUGGGAAUACUGGGAUGGACUGGGAAGACUGGGAUGGACUGGGAGGACUGCGAGGACUGGGAGGACUGGGAUGGACCGGGAGUCGCGGCUCGUUGCACACGCGCCUGCAAUACCCGCCGUCACCGCGCGGCGGCGCUGUUGCGCUGCGCUUUGUGUAAAUGCCCCUUGGAGGGCAGUUAUAGCGUGGGGAUAUUAUGGGAUGUGGGGACGUUGGGGGCACUGGGGACACUGGGGGAUAUGGAGACAUUGGGGCCAUAAGGAUGUGGGGAUAUUAUGGGAUAUGGGGACGUUGGGGUGAACGGGAACGAUGGGGUUAAUGGGAUGCGGUGGGGAUUGGGAUUGGGGUGGGGUGGUUAUGGGUGGGGUGGUUAUGGGCGGGGGGGAUGCGGGCCGGGGGGACCGUAGGGUGGGGGUGGUGGUGGGGUGGAGGGGGCUAUGGGAUGGCUGUGGGGUGGGGUGGUCAUAGGGUGGGGUUGGCUGUGGGGUGAGGUGGCUGUGGGGUGGGGGUGGUUGUGGGGCAGCGAGGGCUAUGAGGGGGGUGGCUAUGAGAUGGGGGUGGGUAUUUGGUGGCUAUGGGGCGCUAUGGGGUAUCUAUGGGGCGGCUAUGGGGCACUAUGGGGCGUGCCGGGAUGGAGGCCAUUGCAGUGACGUGGGGGGGGGGAUGACAUCAGCCCCAGCAGCACCAGUGCAGCUGCAGCACCAACACCAACACAUGCGGGGCACAGAGCUGCGGGGCUGUGCUAUGGGGCUGUGCUAUGGGGCACAGAGCUAUGGGGCACAGAGCUGUGGGGCACAGAGCUGUGGGGCUGUGCUAUGGGGCUGUGCUAUGGGGCACAGAGCUAUGGGGCACAGAGCUAUGGGGCUUUGCUAUGGGGCGCAGAGCUAUGGGGCACAGAGCUGUGGGGCACAGAGCUGUGGGGCACAGAGCUAUGGGGACACAUUGGUGACACACCGGGCUUUAAGGACCCACAGGUGUGAACUCACCAGGAUUCGGUGCCACACACAAGGAUUGCGUGCCCCCACCUGGACCCACACACUGCCCCACACGGGGCUUUGCACGAGGACUGGUGACACAGUGACUGGGCAUGAGGACAUGGGACUGCCCCCCCCCACCCCCCCGUGUGCUCACGAGGCCGCCCAUGUGCCAACGGUGCACAUGUGGGGACAGCAGCGAUUGUGCAACACCGGGCUUUGGGGAGGGGGGGGGCACAAACAAACACAAAUCGUGCGGUGGUGCCAACUGUUGUGCAACUGUUGUGUGACCGCCCCCAGUGCGGCCCCACAGGGCUCACAAACGGGGUCAGAAUGGGUCCGAAUAGGGUCAGAAAUGGGGUCUGACAACGGGACCAAAUGGGGCCACAAAAGCGGCCCCAAAUGGGGUCUGAAAGGGGGGCAGAAAUGGGGUCUGAAAGGGGGAACAAAUGGAUCAAAAAUGGGUCUGAAAUGGGGUCUGAAAUGGGGUCCCAAAUUUGUCUCAAAUGUGGCACUGAAUGUGGUCCCAAAAGUGGUUCCAAUGGGGCCCAAAUGAGGUCCAAAAUGGGUCCCAAAAGUGGCACCAAAUGUGGAGCCGAAUGGGAUCCCAAAUUGCUCCCAAAUUUGGUCCUAAGUGCGGCCUCAAAUACGGACCCCAAUGUGGACAUGAAGGAGAUCCUGAAUGCGGCCCAAAUCAAUGGGGAAAUGAUGAAUGGGGAAAUGAUGAAUGCGGAAAUGAUGAAUGGGGAAAUGAUUGAUGGGAAAUGACUGAUGGGAAAGGAUGAAUGGGGAAUGACGAAUGGGGAAUGAUUGAUGAGAAACGAUUGAUGAGAAAUAAUUGGUGAGAAAAGAUCAACGGGAAAUGAUGAAUGGGGAACGAUGAACGGGGAAUAUCAAGAGGACAUGGGGACACUGGGACACAGAGAUCUGUGCACAUGGGGACACUGGGGACACUGGGGGUCAAAGGGGUCAAUGGGGUCAAUGGGGACAUUGGGGACAAUGGAGUAAUGGGGGGUAAUGGGGGGCAAUGGGGACCCUGGGGACACUGGGGACACUGGGGACACUGGGGACAUUGGGGACACUGGGGACUUUGGGGACAUUGGGGACACUGGGGACACUGGGGACACCCCCAGCGCCGUUGGCCCCACAGCCGCAGCGCCGCCCCUCGACCUGUGGGGCAGAAGCGGCGCGGUGACAACGGGGCGCACCUUGGGGUGGGGCGGGGUGGGGGGGCGGGGCUGCGCGUUGUGCAACCCGUGUUGGGGGGGCACGUCGAGCCCCACCCCUCGCCCCCCCCCCGGCCCCAUAAAUACCCCCGGGGGGGCGGAGGGGCCGUAAUCGCCGCCCGCCAUGGAGGUGACGCUGCUGCUGUUCCUGGGGCUCUCCCUCAUCCUCCUCCUCGCGGUCCGCGGGCGGCGGGGGUCCGGGGGGGGCCGCCUCCCCCCAGGUCCGACCCCGCUGCCCCUCAUCGGGAACCUCCUGCAGAUCUCCCCAUCCCAAACCCUCAAAUCUUUCCUUAAGGUGGGUCCGGGGGGGAACGACCCCCCCCCAAAAAA